GAUGAACGCUAGCGGCAGGCCUAAUACAUGCAAGUCGAACGGUGUCUUCGGACAUAGUGGCGCACGGGUGCGUAACACAUAUGCAACCUACCUUACAUUGGGGGAAAGCCUUUCGAAGGGGAGAUUAAUACCGCAUAAGACAGUAGCUGGGCAUCCAGCAGCUGUAAAAGAUUUAUCGAUGUAAGCUGGGCAUGCGUCCAAUUAGCUAGUUGGUGAGGUAACGGCUCACCAAGGCAAUGAUUGGUAGGGGAACUGAGAGGUCAAUCCCCCACACUGGCACUGAGAUACGGGCCAGACUCCUACGGGAGGCAGCAGUAGGGAAUAUUGGGCAAUGGACGCAAGUCUGACCCAGCCAUGCCGCGUGCAGGAUGAAGGCGUUGUGCGUUGUAAACUGCUUUUAUACAGGAAGAAACGACUCUUGCGAGAGGCAUUGACGGUACUGUAUGAAUAAGCACCGGCUAACUCCGUGCCAGCCGCCGCCGUAAGAC
rnacentral:rRNA from 1 species